CUGGUAAAAUGGCGGCACCCGUGAUGACAUGCUGCUUGGGGAAAGAGUGCCCUGAGGAAGCAGCUGGCUGAGACGCCGCUGGGAAAAUGGCAAGGCCACAGCCAAGAGACUGGAGACAACAGGGAGAUUCCUGCCUCUACAUACUAAGGCUUAUUUUGGUAGUCCAGGCCCCUCUUCGAUGCUACUCCACCAUGAAAUUCAUCCAAUCUCAUUCCUGCACCCAGACUCUUGAAGAAUGUAGGUCUGUUUCACUUAUGCUCACAAGUUAAAUCCUUCUCAACUUUCAUUGAUCCAAUAAGAUGAUCUGAUUUGUUUUUUAUAAUCCUGACUUCAAUAUGUACUGAACUGGUUUUGCCAUUGCCUUAGACCUGCCUAAUCUACAUUCUUAGAGUUCAGACACUCAAUUCAAGACCCACUUUCUCAAGAACAGAGAAACUGACAUCAUCAAUAGUCAAAAUGCCUUUUAGUCUUCACUGUAAUUGAAAUUGAGUUAUGAUUAUGAAUGCUAGCUGGUCAUCUCUUUGUUAGGCUAAUCAUGGGCUGGCAGGCCAGAAGACUAGACUAUGUUUGUGAAUGUGGUUAAUGGCUAUGCCAUUUCCCUUGUGGGAAAACCCAU